rnacentral:rRNA from 1 species
AUUGAACGCUGGCGGCAGGCUUAACACAUGCAAGUCGAACGGUAGCAGGAGAAAGCUUGCUUUCUUGCUGACGAGUGGCGGACGGGUGAGUAAUGCUUGGGAAUCUGGCUUAUGGAGGGGGAUAACGACGGGAAACUGUCGCUAAUACCGCGUAUUAUCGGAAGAUGAAAGUGCGGGACUGAGAGGCCGCAUGCCAUAGGAUGAGCCCAAGUGGGAUUAGGUAGUUGGUGGGGUAAAGGCCUACCAAGCCUGCGAUCUCUAGCUGGUCUGAGAGGAUGACCAGCCACACUGGAACUGAGACACGGUCCAGACUCCUACGGGAGGCAGCAGUAGGGAAUCUUCCACAAUGGGUGCAAACCUGAUGGAGCAAUGCCGCGUGAGUGAAGAAGGCCUUCGGAUCGUAAAGCUCUGUUGUUAGAGAAGAACACGUGCUAGGUAACUACUAGCGCCUUGACGGUAUCUAACCAGAAAGUCACGGCUAACUACGUGCCAGCAGCCGCGGUAAUACGUAGGUGACAAGCGUUGUCCGGAUUUAUUGGGCGUAAAGGGAGCGCAAGCGGUCUGUUUAGUCUAAUGUGAAAGCCCACGGCUUAACCGUGGAACGGCAUUGGAAACUGACAGACUUGAAUGUAGAAGAGGAAAAUGGAAUUCCAAGUGUAGCGGUGGAAUGCGUAGAUAUUUGGAGGAACACCAGUGGCGAAGGCGAUUUUCUGGUCUAACAUUGACGCUGAGGCUCGAAAGCGUGGGGAGCGAACAGGAUUAGAUACCCUGGUAGUCCACGCCGUAAACGAUGAGUGCUAAGUGUUGGGGGCUUUCCGGCCCUCGGUGCUGGAGCUAACGUAUUAAGCACUCCGCCUGGGGAUUACGACCGCAAGGUUGAAACUCAAAAGAAUUGACGGGGACCCGCACAAGCGGUGGAGCAUGUGGUUUAAUUCGAAGCAACGCGAAGAACCUUACCAGCUCUUGACAUCUUCUGACAACUCUAGAGAUAGAGCGUUCCCUUUGGGGACAGAAUGACAGGUGGUGCAUGGUUGUCGUCAGCUCGUGUCGUGAGAUGUUGGGUUAAGUCCCGUAACGAGCGCAACCCUUGUUGUUAGUUGCCAGCAUUAAGUUGGGCACUUUAACGAGACUGCCGGUGAUAAACCGGAGGAAGGCGGGGAUGACGUCAAAUCAUCAUGCCCCUUAUGAGCUGGGCUACACACGUGCUACAAUGGAUGGUACAACGAGCAGCGAUCCCGCGAGGGCUAGCUAAUCUUUCAAAGCCAUUCUCAGUUCGGAUUGCACUCUGCAACUCGAGUGCAUGAAGUCGGAAUCGCUAGUAAUCGCGAAUCAGAAUGUCGCGGUGAAUCCGUUCCCGGGUCU